AAUAAAAUCUACAUGAUAGAUUAUAAACUGAAAAGCCUUCUGGAAAUGCAUUAGACACUCAGUUCCUUGAAGGCAAAUGAUUAACUGUAAAUUAAUAAUUUCUCCUAAAGCUGAGCAUGUAGACCAGGUGGAACAUGAGAAGCAAAGGAUCCUCACAGAACUUGAACACCUGCAUCAGAUCCUGGAGGAGGAGAAGACUUUCCUGCUGUCACGGAUUUACUGGCUGGGUCAUGAGAGAGCCGAAGCAGGGAAACACCAUGUUGCCUCCACCGAGCUACAGUCGAACAAUCUCAAGGAGCUCAUGGAUUCCCUGAAGAUCAAGCAGAAAAUGCCACCCAGGCAGCUGCUGGAGGAUAUCAGAGUUGCCUUGUGCAGGUAUGAUGGGCCACCCCAAAUGUAUUUUGCCUACUGA
rnacentral:lncRNA from 1 species